rnacentral:rRNA from 1 species
CCCUUAGAUGUCCUGGGCCGCACGCGCGUUACACUGAUGCAUUCAACGAGCUUAUAACCUUGGCCGAGAGGCCUGGGCAAUCUUGUUGACGUGCAUCGUGAUAGGGAUAGAUUAUUGAAAUUAUUAAUCUUGAACGAGGAAUUCCUAGUAAACGCAGAUCAUCAAUCUGCAUUGAUUACGUCCCUGCCCUUUGUACACACCGCCCGUCGCACCUACCGAUUGAAUGGUCCGGUGAAAUCUCGGGACGGCGGCUUGGUCGCUUGCGUCCGACUGCUGAAACUUGAUUAAACCAUAUCAUUUAGAGGAAGGUGAANUCGUAACA